UCAAUCCUACUUGGAUAACUGUGGCAAUUCUAGAGCUAAUACACGCACUGAAACCGCAGCCCUUGGCAGCGGUGCUUUUAUUAGAACAAAGCCAACCGGGCCUCGGCCCGUCUGCUUGGCGAAUCUGAAUAACCUGGCCGAUCGCACGGUCUCGCACCGGCGACGCAUCUUUCAAGUGUCUGCCUUAUCAACUGUCGAUGGUAGCUUACGUGCCUACCAUGGUUGUAACGGGUAACGGAGAAUAAGGGUUCGACUCCGGAGAGGGAGCCUGAGAAAUGGCUACCACAUCCAAGGAAGGCAGCAGGCGCGCAAAUUACCCACUCUCGGCACGAGGAGGUAGUGACGAAAAAUAACGAGACGGUUCUCUUUCGAGGCCCGUUAUCGGAAUGAGAACAAUUCAAACCCUUUAACGAGGAUCUAGCAGAGGGCAAGUCUGGUGCCAGCAGCCGCGGUAAUUCCAGCUCUGCAAGUGUAUACCUUUGCUGUUGCGGUUAAAAAGCUCGUAGUUGGAUCUGCGCCCCAGGAGUCGGUCAUCCCGAGCGGAUUGCACUGACAUCCGGGGAUCUCGGCUGGUUUUCGCUUGGCGCCCUUCACCGGGUGUCUUGCGUGGCUAGCACGUUUACUUUGAAAAAAUUAGAGUGCUCAAAACAGGCGCACGCCUGCAUACUGGUGCAUGGAAUAAUAGAAUAGGACCUCGGUUCUAUUUUGUUGGUUUUCGGAACGGAGGUAAUGAUC
rnacentral:rRNA from 1 species